rnacentral:lncRNA from 1 species
CAAUAUAAUAAGCAGGAAUCCCCAUAAUAUAUUAAACAUGAUGUAUUGCGUUACAAAGAACACGAUACAAACAUUACAUAUCUGAAACCAUCUAGUACUAGCCUAAUUCUUGAUCAUUCAGUCAGCUUACUGUUUGAAACAUUACACUUCAAAAUGACAUUCUAAUUAUCUAGUAAAAUUGCCAUUCUUGACCUUGCAAUCAACGUCCGUGCAUCUUGAAUAUAUCUUGGCAGCCUAGAACAACAAAGGAAUGAGAUUAGUAACCUAUGAUAGAGAAUAUCAACAAAGCAGAAAGUUAUGGAGGAGCCAAAGAAAAGGAGAGUACUAGCCUACAUCUGACAAUCACUUUUUAUCCUUGUUUUCUUAUGAAAAAAAUGCUAUAUGUCGAUUGAGUAAAAUAAACCUCAAAAUCAUACUAAGCAAGAAACGAGGUACCCCCUUGGGAAAAAAUCAUGUAAUGAAAUACCACACAUCUUUCGUUUGCUAAGAAAGAUCUGAGUUCUCCACAAAAUAAAAGUAGACGCAAGAUUUCAACAAAUCAAAAAUACUGUAGUUAAAAGAAAAUAAUUCGCACCAGGCUAAAUUAGGUAUUGUGAUACAUGCUCACAAAUAUGACUUACCAAGACACUGAUUUACAUAUAGAUGUGGGGCUAAUUAAUAAUGUGAAUACAAAACCUUCUCAACAGGAGUUUAUUAAUAAAAAUGCAGAUGCAACCUAUAUGUGUGUACUAUUUUAUUUUUUGCAUCUGGCAUCAACUUACUAUGUGAAUCAUCAUAAUAAACACCAGCAGAAGGGACAUCACCAUGCUAGGAAGUACAAACACAGAGACUUGAAGUCUUGAACAUUUCUGUAAACUGACAACAUUCUAUUCUCUCAGUUGCGACUUGCACAAGUUCUGAAUAUCCACCGCUCGUUCAGAUCAGAAACUGCAUAGUAAAACACCGAGAUCUUUGAAAAAUUGGAUGGGGCUAUCAUUUUGAACCAUCAGCAUGUAUUUACUAUAGUAAUGAUUAUCCAAACAUUAUAUAUGUUAACAAUGAUAUGAAUUCUGGAGCCAACUAAAUGACAAUAGGUAACCAAUAAUAUUGAUUAUACAUAGUUGAAUAUUUCAAUUUCCCAGAGGCUUCAAAUUCUUUUUAGGGCCUCUUAUGUAUGUGUUGACUUUUAUAUCUCCUAAUUGCAGUAUACACAAGUCCAAAAGAUAUACCUAUUAAGAUAAAGAACAAACAAACACGUGUUGGCUGAAGCACAUAGUCAACUUCAGAACCUGCGAGGGAAGAUGAAACUAAAGAUUAUACAAUAAAAAGAAAUGUUAGGACAAAGAGAUGCACAUGGGCUUAUUCCUAUAGUACUACAAAAGCGUGUAACAGAAAUCAAUAAGGAUUGAUAACGCUAAUGAGAUUUUUUUGUCUCUUGAAAAUCAUGAUGUUAUAGAUAAUAGUACUCGCCUAUUAACUGAUACUUGAAGAAAUGUUCUUUGAUGACAUGGUCAUAUGCUAUUAACUAGGAUAUUUGGAGAUACUGUUGACUUAUUUAACUAAUCUACCAUGAUCCUCCUCACAAAAAUACUGGACAAUUAUCCAUGCACGUAGAAUCAAGAAAAUUAAAGCCUAAUGCAUCACAAGAAAGAACUAUUAAUGAAGAGGUAAAAAAAUAUUCCUGAAUGAACAGGUACAGAGUACAGACAAAUGGUGAAUCGCUCAACCAUAGAAGAAAAAAGUCCACCUAUGAACAUCUAAAACUGGGGUGACAAUAUGCUUCUAGAUGUUCCAUUUAUGACUUACUGCAAAUUGUUGUAAUUGAAUGCUAUUAGAGAAGGUCUCUGGUGCAACAUAAAGGUAUCAGAUAUAGUAAUAGCACAGGGGAUCUUACAGGUGGGAAUUUUGAGCCUGUAACCAUAGAAGCGUUGUUGUCUCUGCUGCCUGCAGAUAAAACCCAUUGGAAUGUGAACUUCCUCCAUGAAACUUACUGUGUUAUAUAAUCUUUAGGAAACAGGGUAAAUUUGUCAAAUAUAUGCUGAACAAAUCUAUAAGAAAAAUUAAAGAAGUCCUCGAUUUGUUUGAUCCGGGAUAGUUCCCAUUAUCUCAUAAUUGUACAAACAAUAUUCGAAGGAGGAGGGCCUUACUGAACCGUCUGGCGUCAGUCGAGGUAGUCGAGGACUCGAUGUGGAACAACAUGGUAUAGCCCGAGCCGGCAGCCGCGCGCGCGGAUACGCGGGGUAGUGGGCAGACAAACGAGAGGAGACAUGGGAGACGCGCUAGCCACCGUGGCGGCUAGGGUUCCUGCGGGGGCGCGUACAGGGGCGUGGAUGGUGUCGCCGCGGCAAUGGAUCGGACGAGAGCAGUGAGGGGUUCCUGAGACCAUGAGCGGGUGCGCAGGGGAGCGGAGGACGCCGCGGCGACUGGGGAUCGGAGGAAAGUAGUAAAGAGGAGCCGGGAGGUUGGGCGGCGGCGCGGAGGAACUCAUCGCGAGCCCGCGACAAAGGAACAGAGGAAAACAGUAAGGGGGA